AUUGAACGCUGGCGGCAGGCUUAACACAUGCAAGUCGAGCGGAGAUGAGGUGCUUGCACCUUAUCUUAGCGGCGGACGGGUGAGUAAUGCUUAGGAAUCUGCCUAUUAGUGGGGGACAACAUUCCGAAAGGGAUGCUAAUACCGCAUACGUCCUACGGGAGAAAGCAGGGGAUCUUCGGACAUUGCGCUAAUAGAUGAGCCUAAGUCGGAUUAGCUAGUUGGUGGGGGAAAGGCCUACCAAGGCGACGAUCUGUAGCGGGUCUGAGAGGAUGAUCCGCCACACUGGGACUGAGACACGGCCCAGACUCCUACGGGAGGCAGCAGUGGGGAAUAUUGGACAAUGGGGGGAACCCUGAUCCAGCCAUGCCGCGUGUGUGAAGAAGGCCUUAUGGUUGUAAAGCACUUUAAGCGAGGAGGAGGCUACUGAGACUAAUACUCUUGGAUAGUGGACGUUACUCGCAGAAUAAGCACCGGCUAACUCUGUGCCAGCCGCCGCCGUAAAAC
rnacentral:rRNA from 1 species